rnacentral:lncRNA from 1 species
GAAAUCAGCCAACCAUCGCUGACAGCGGUUUCAGAGGCGGAAGUGCGUGCGGCGUAAUAUGUGACGAUCAUUGUAAACAAAAGUCAAUGUUUAGCUAACGUAUGGAGGAAUGCAGUCUCAACGGUCUUUGACUUGAAGAUCCAGGAUGUUGUGUGAAGUCCUGCUGUCAUCACUAUGGUUCCUGUUUGUUAUCUUCUGGGUGGAGACAAUAAGUGUGUGGCUGUUUCUGUCCAUGUUCUACCAGGACAGGGCAUUUUACCACUGGGGAGAUGGGGUAUUUGCAGAUGAUCCUGGACAGAUGAUAUACACAUUGAGCAGAGUUGACCCCCGUAUCGAGACAGAGACCCAGACCUGAUAAAGACGUCUACUGAAUGGAUGCUCAAUGGAAGGCUGUGACAGUUAUGUGACUGAAGGAUCUUAUAUUAAUAGGCAGUAGCAGUCUUUGUAUUGCACUGACUGCCUCGCACACAGUCCACUUUUAAUUGUAGCUGGUGGAGAGGUGCAGCAUGAGUGACAGGGGAAGACAAUGGGGUGGGAUGUCCACCACUGCGACAUUUAUUAUAUAUUUUCAC